rnacentral:rRNA from 1 species
GACCUUGCGCUAAUAGAUGAGCCUAAGUCGGAUUAGCUAGUUGGUGGGGUAAAGGCCUACCAAGGCGACGAUCUGUAGCGGGUCUGAGAGGAUGAUCCGCCACACUGGGACUGAGACACGGCCCAGACUCCUACGGGAGGCAGCAGUGGGGAAUAUUGGACAAUGGGGGGAACCCUGAUCCAGCCAUGCCGCGUGUGUGAAGAAGGCCUUUUGGUUGUAAAGCACUUUAAGCGAGGAGGAGGCUUACCUGGUUAAUACCUGGGAUAAGUGGACGUUACUCGCAGAAUAAGCACCGGCUAACUCUGUGCCAGCAGCCGCGGUAAUACAGAGGGUGCAAGCGUUAAUCGGAUUUACUGGGCGUAAAGCGCGCGUAGGUGGCUAAUUAAGUCAAAUGUGAAAUCCCCGAGCUUAACUUGGGAAUUGCAUUCGAUACUGGUUAGCUAGAGUAUGGGAGAGGAUGGUAGAAUUCCAGGUGUAGCGGUGAAAUGCGUAGAGAUCUGGAGGAAUACCGAUGGCGAAGGCAGCCAUCUGGCCUAAUACUGACACUGAGGUGCGAAAGCAUGGGGAGCAAACAGGAUUAGAUACCCUGGUAGUCCAUGCCGUAAACGAUGUCUACUAGCCGUUGGGGCCCUUGAGGCUUUAGUGGCGCAGCUAACGCGAUAAGUAGACCGCCUGGGGAGUACGGUCGCAAGACUA